rnacentral:rRNA from 1 species
UACGUAGGGGGCGAGCGUUGUCCGGAAUGAUUGGGCGUAAAGGGCGCGUAGGCGGCUGAUUAAGUCUGGAGUGGAAGUCCUAUUUUCAAGGUAGGAAUUGCUUUGGAAACUGAUCAGCUUGAGUGCAGGAGAGGUUAUCGGAAUUCCCGGUGUAGCGGUGAAAUGCGUAGAGAUCGGGAGGAACACCAGUGGCGAAGGCGGGUAACUGGACUGCAACUGACGCUGAGGCGCGAAAGUGUGGGGAGCAAACAGGAUUAGAUACCCUCGUAGUCCCUGA